rnacentral:rRNA from 1 species
CAGUCGCCGCGGUAAUACGUAGGUCCCGAGCGUUGUCCGAAUUUAUUGGGCGUAAAGCGAGCGCAGGCGGUUAGAUAAGUCUGAAGUUAAAGGCUGUGGCUUAACCAUAGUACGCUUUGGCAACUGUUUAACUUGAGUGCAAGAGGGGAGAGUGGAAUUCCAUGUGUAGCGGUGAAAUGCGUAGAUAUAUGGAGGAACACCGGUGGCGAAAGCGGCUCUCUGGCUUGUAACUGACGCUGAGGCUCGAAAGCGUGGGGAGCAAACAGGAUUAGAUACCCCAGUAGUCCCUGUCUCUUAUACA